rnacentral:rRNA from 1 species
AUAAUAUUAAAAAAAUUUGAUUUUUUUGAAAUAUUAUUUAUAUUAAUUAAAAUAAUUUUAAAUUUUAUUAAUUUAGUAUUAAAUUUUAAAAAUUUUGUAUUUUAUUAUUUUUAGUAUUGUAAAAGAAAUUUAUUCUAUAUUUAAUAGAUAUAUUAAUUUAUUAUACCUUUUGUAUCAGGGUUUAUUAAAAUUAAUUAAUUUAAUGUUAAUUUCUCGAAAUAAAUUGAUUUAAUUAAAUUUUAUAGUUAAUGUUAAAUUAUUAUUAUAAAAAUUUAAUUAGUAAUUAUAUGUUUUUCAUAAUUUAUUAUAUCUAGUUUUUUUAUAAAUUAAUUUAAUUUAGUUUAAUAAUUUAUUUUAUAUUUAAAUAUUUAAAUAUAAAAUGUUAUUAAAUAAAAGUUUAUGGGAUAAUCUAUAAAUUUUUAUUAAUAAAAAUUUAAUUUAUUUAUUAUUUUAGGAAUGAAAAUUUUUAUUUAUAAAUAAUAUGUUUUAAUUAAUGAAAUAAAAUUAAUAUUUAUAUUUAAUUUUAAUUAUUUAUAAAAAUAUUUAUUUAAAUUUUUUAAAUUUAUUAAUUAUGAUAAAAUUAGUAAUAUAAUAAUUUAAUUAGUUUAAUUUUUGAUAGGUUAAAUUAAGGAAUUAGGCAAUAAUUAAUUAUUCAAAUGUUUAUUAAAAACAUUUUUUUUUGUAUAUUAAUUUUAAAUAAAUUCUGCUCAAUGAUUAAUUAAAUAGCUGCAGUAUUCUAACUGUACAAAGGUAGCAUAAUCAUUUGUCUUUUUAUUAAGGUCUGGAAUGAAUGAAUUAAUGAAAUAAUAACUGUCUCAAUUUAAUUUUUAUAAAUUUUAUUUUAAGUUAAAAUUCUUAAAUUUAAUUAAUAGACGAGAAGACCCUAGAGAAUUUUAUAUUUAACUAUUCUUAAUUAUUAAUAAUUUUAAUUAAUUUUAAUUUAAGUAUUUUGUUGGGGUGACGUAAAAAUUUAAUAAAUUUUUUAACUAAUUAAAUAAUAAUAUUUAAAUUUUUAAAUCCAUAAAUUAUGAAAUUAAAUUAAAUUACCUUAGGGAUAACAGCGUUAUUUUAUUUGAGAGAUCAAAUCGAUAAUAAAUUUUGCGACCUCGAUGUUGAAUUAAGAUUAAUUAUUAUUGGAGAUGAUAAUAUAUUUUAGUCUGUUCGACUAUUAAAAUCUUACAUGAUUUGAGUUUAGAUCGGCGUGAGCCAGAUCGGAUUCUAUCUUUAAUAAGUUAAGAAAUUAUUGUACGAAAGGACUUAAUUUUUUUAAUAAUUAAUGAAUUUGAAUUAUAUU